rnacentral:snRNA from 1 species
AUCACUUUUCAACUAGCUAUGGAAAUAUGUGUCUUAAGAAGUUACAGGAGUUGGAAUAGGAGCUUGCUCCGUCCACUCCACGCAUCGACCUGGUAUUGAAGUACUUCCAGGAAUGGUGCACUCCCC